UACAGAGGGGGCAAGCGUUGUUCGGAAUUACUGGGCGUAAAGGGCGCGUAGGCGGCCUGUUAAGUCGAACGUGAAAUCCCCGGGCUCAACCCGGGAACUGCGUCCGAUACUGGCAGGCUUGAAUUCGGGAGAGGGAUGUGGAAUUCCAGGUGUAGCGGUGAAAUGCGUAGAUAUCAGGAGGAACACCAAUGGCGAAGGCAGCUCGCUGGGACGUGACUGACGCUGAGACGCGAAAGCGUGGGGAGCAAACAGG
rnacentral:rRNA from 1 species